UCUUUUUGGCAGAUUUAUGCAUUUGAUUUAGAGUCAAACUAUAAUAAUACUAUUAAAAGGUA
rnacentral:tRNA from 1 species